rnacentral:rRNA from 1 species
AUUGAACGCUGGCGGCGUGCCUAACACAUGCAAGUCGAGCGGUAACAGGUGUAGCAAUACAUGCUGACGAGCGGCGAACGGGUGAGUAAUGCUUCGGAAUCUACCCAAUGGUGGGGAAUAACCAGCCGAAAGGUUGGCUAAUACCGCAUACGUCCCACGGGAGAAAGCAGGGGAUCGACAAGACCUUGCGCCAAUGGAUGAGCCGAAGUCGGAUUAGCUAGUUGGAGGGUAACGGCCUACCAAGGCGACGAUCCGUAGCUGGUCUGAGAGGACGACCAGCCACACUGGGACUGAGACACGGCCCAGACUCCUACGGGAGGCAGCAGUGGGGAUAUUGGACAAUGGGGGAAACCCUGAUCCAGCGACGCCGCGUGUGUGAAGAAGGCC